rnacentral:lncRNA from 1 species
AUGAAAGGCAUAUGUGCAUUCCAGCUGUAGCGGAUUUCAAAUGAGAAUUGAAAACACUUUUGUGGAAUGUGUAUGCAUAGAUAGAGAAACACAUAUAGAGAGAGAACUGAUGGGUAUAGAACUAUAGAAGCCAUUUUCUCUGGAAUAUACCCAAAUCGGAAAUUACCGCCACCAAUCGGCAUCAUCAAGAUACCAUGCAACCAUAGUACACCACCAUGCGAUCGGUUUCCUUCGGCUUACCCCCACCUCAAACCCUAGGAUCUCUGUGAAGUCGUCGGAAAUAGUUUUAGCUGGCGGUCAGUGAUAAAAAGCAUUUAAAAAGUGGCGACGAUGCUCUUCCGACUACCAUACAGGUAGCCUUUGCCUAGAUCGGUGGAGGCGAACGCUAAAGACCGGCGGGAACCACUCACUUGGACCGACGGCGGCAACAACUCGCUCGCCCACUCUCUUUACAACACUGCCGCGAAAUCGGUAGAGCCGUGGUGUUUGUGAUUUUGAGUUUCAAUUCCAGAUCCGAAAGGAAACCUAAUUGUUCCUUUUGUAACCGUCGUAGUAGUCGGACGGUUUAAAAAAAGUUGCCGGAUGAAGACAGUGACGGGUCAAGGGAAAAAACAAAAGAAAAAAAAAUCAGCCAAUAGCCAGUCAGCACGCAGCUGGCACUGUUAAUGCGAGUUCGUAAAUGUUAGUAGUGCCCGCCCAUUCUGUCUCGCCUGCCCGCCGACCCAUGAAUUCUUCAGAGCGGGCCGGCAGGCUUCGGCGCUUGACUAAACCAAUCUAGAGUUAAUUAAUUAAUUAAUAUGUCAAACAAACAAACUGAUAAAUUAUAAAUGAGUUGUAAUCAAGUUGUAAACGUGUUAAAUAAACCGUUAAUGAGUUGAAUUGUAUAAUUUUGGACAAAUCGCUAAAUGAAAAUUGUUUUUUAGUUUUAAAUUUUACUUU